UUAAUCUCAUUCAGGCUAUCUGCUUUGUCCUUAUUCGGCCAUUGUCUAAGAACACAUACAGAACGAUUAAUCGAGCUUUGGCGGAGUUGUUGUGGCUGGAUCUUGUAUGGGUUUUUGAUUGGUGGGCUGGAGUUAAGUUUGAAUCAUCUACUUCGCCUGUGUGGGCAUCUGUUGAAGAUGAUACUGCUAUUGUUCCUGGAAAGUCGUUUCUUGAUUGAUUAAAUGGAAUCUCAUUCUCUGUCUGUGGAUGCUCCUGCAUUUCUCUAUUUUUGGUCUUUGAUGCUGAAAGGCGAAAGCAAAUUAUUGAAGUGUUCUACAUGAGAUGUGUUUUCAAGUUGAAUCUUGAGGAUGCUUAAACCACCCAGUAAAUCAAGGGUGUUUGCUAUUCAAUCUAAAUGGCACACCAAGCUGUAUUAAUAAUUUAGCGUUAAGUAUAGUUUAUGGUUUAAUUUGGUUUUUCAUUUUAUAGAAAUCAGACCAGAAUGUAAUCCUCUGAACUGCAUUAAAUUGUAUAUUUUUGCAUAUUAUUUUAUUCCUUAAUAUUGCAUUUAGUAUAUCUUUUAUAGAUAGGUCAUGAUUUUUUUUGGAUCUUAUAUUUGACUUGCAUCCAAUGAAAAAG
rnacentral:misc_RNA from 1 species